AUUCACCUCUAAUAAGUAUCAUACAGUAUAAAUGGUAUUUUUAUUUCUGCUCCUAGAGUGUGAAAAAAUCUGUGGAAGCUAACUGAGGGCUUUGCAAGUGUAUCUGAAUGGUGGAUCAACUGAGUGUAGGCUCAGAUCAGGACUUCAAAUGCGUGCAGUCACAGCCUUCCCACAGACGGUGAGAGAAGUACUGCAGAAACAUCUCUGCUUCUCCACUAGGACUGAUACAGCAGCAAGUGUUUGCAUUGCAAGUGACAUCUGGCUGACAGGAAUUUGGAGAAAUGGGAUACAAAGUGAAUGCUGC
rnacentral:lncRNA from 1 species